CACGCUGUAAACGAUGAAUACUAGGUGUGGGGGGGCUGACCCCUUCCGUGCCGGAGUUAACACAAUAAGUAUUCCACCUGGGGAGUACGGCCGCAAGGUUGAAACUCAAAGGAAUUGACGGGGGCCCGCACAAGCAGUGGAUUAUGUGGUUUAAUUCGAAGCAACGCGAAGAACCUUACCAGGGUUUGACAUCCCACUAACGAGGCAGAGAUGCGUUAGGUGCCCUUCGGGGAAAGUGGAGACAGGUGG
rnacentral:rRNA from 1 species